rnacentral:lncRNA from 1 species
CAUUUCGGCUAAUUAAAAUGGUCCGAAAAAUGCAGAGACCGUUUAGUUCUUCCCCAAACACAGACCUCAUCUUCUCCGUCUCCUUCAUCCCCAAACCUCCAUGUUCACCGGCAAUCCACCGCCAAUGACCGCCAAAAUAACACCCUUGAAACCCCGUCUCACCCUCAUCCCAAAAAUCCCCUUUAUUCCCCUCGAAUGUUACUGAAGCCUCUCGAAUUUGGAUUUAAAGGGUCCACUUUAGAAAUUCCAAAGCCUAAAUCUAUGACUCUAUAAAUGGUUCUAGACUGUAGUGACCUUUAUUCGUGUGGUUCCAUAAGAAAAUACACGAUUAAGGGUUAGUCCAGUCAGGAAUCUGAAGAAGCUCAUUAAGGAUUGUUCGAGUUGGCUUAGCUUGGUGCUUUAGGUAUUAUGUUUGCCUAUCCUCAUUGUUUCCCAGAUUAGUUCAAUUGUUUGAUUUUGUUUUCUGUUGUUCUUCCUCCAGUUCAUGCUCUGUCUCUGCUUUUCCAUUCUGCCUCGUUGCUUAUGUGUUAAUAUGCUUAAUUAAUAACCUUGAGUUAAUCGUGUUUUUGAUUUUGCUAAAUAAAUAGAAUUAAUUCAUUUUGCGAGUUUUUAAUUGGGCUGUUUCUUUUGGAGGUUAUCCCUUAACUGAUAUUGGAUUGAGUCAGAAUCUGAAAUCGAUUGUCUAUUUUGGAUUGGUCUAGAAUUAGUUUGGGGCUCCUUGGGUCAUUUAUGACCCAACUCAAAGGUGCCUUGGUUGAGCCCAAAGCUGUUUGGUUAGCUAAGUAAUAACAGGGGCUUUGGAGGGUAUUAUAGGUAAUCUAACAUGGAUGAAUCUUUUGUAACUAAUUUCAGAAGUUUCUAGUAGGGGUCUUAAGGGGAGUAUCAUAUUUUGGGUGUUUAAACUUGGGUAGAAAGUCAGGAAUUGAGGGUUACCUAAGCAAAAAUGAAAAUACAAAAGGGGGGUAAGGUGUAAAUUGGAAAACCUGAAGGCUGCCCUAUGCUUAAGCUUAUAAACGCAUGCUUUAUUGCCUUGAAAGACAGCCAUCAAGAUUCUAAAAAUCUGAAGGGCAUUAGAGAUACAAAAGAAAAAAACAUAAAAAUCAGUAUUGCUACUAUUCUAUGGAGUUUAAGGCCUAAACUUUGAAAGUUUUUCCAUCUCUAAAUCAAUUUGAAUUUUCUCUUUAUGUCCAAGCUUUGAAAUGGUUUGAAAAAUGAGGUGAUGAUCUUGGAUUUGGAUGGCUCUGAUUGUUUGAAGGUGGUAUUACGUGUUGAGAUUACAUUCCUCUGGGUUUUAGGCUAUUAAGUCUACUGUUCCAUUGGAGUUUUUAAGUAAUCUCCUGGUUUUAUUCACUAAGUCUAGGCUGUGUUGGUUGCUUUUGAUUUCUACGGUUGCUAUUUGAUAUUGCAUCUGUUUGGCUGGUUGUGUUCCUUCUGUUGGCUUUCAUCUUUAUUUGAGCUUACUACUGCUGCUCACUGUUAGCUCCUGGCUCAUUUUUGUUGGUUUUGCUGUUGUAAUCAGGUACAUACUCGAGGUCAUGUCAAUACAGAUUUUACUUGCUUGAAAUGAAAUGGAAUCGAAGUUACUGCUUGAAGAUCUCAUGUCAAUACAACUUUUCCUUGCUUGAAAUGAAAUGGAAUCGAAGUUACUGCUUGAAGAUCUGUUGUUCAUUUUAUUAUGCAAAUGAAUGUUUUGUAUGAUCUAUGUAAUUUCAUAGUGUGACAGAGCAUAAACCUAGGAGUUCUAUGUGUAGCAACGAGGUUUUGGACUGUUAAACUCGACUGAUUUUAUAGCUUUCAUUAAUUCUAUGUGUAGCACUGGUUAUAACUACACCAUUUGGGGUUGUUGAAUUCUGGAUUCUAUAACUUUCAUUAAGCCUUCAUUAUGCAUUUCAAAGUAGUCGAUCUCAGUCCAAAUGGCAAGGAUUUUCAUGAGUAAACACUGUUUGGUUCAUAUGAGCAAUAGAGUACAAUAUUAUCACCAUGCUUAUUUAGUUACAAGGAUUUAUAGAAUCUGACUCUAUAAUAGUUGAAUACACUUUUGCUUGUGAAUCACGAACCAGUUAAUUUAACCUGUUGUUUGGGCCUAUUGUUUGAUGUUAGGCCCAAUAAUUGUUACCCAUUAGAACUCAGGUUUUGAGUUAGGUAGCGGGUUUUAAACUAAAAGGUUCAUCCUUUUGUUUGGACCCGGACUUGAACUUAAGGCUUGGAGUUCGAAUAUAAUUAUUAGAAUCUUUCUUUCAUUAUUCGAUACAAAAAUCAAAAAUAGAAGAUAUAGUUAUCUUUUAGGUUUAUCCUUUUAAAAUAAAAUGAGACGAGACUCGCCCAACAGAAAUACCAAUUGUAGGGACGUCAAUGAAGGUUUAAAAAUAUUUAGAAAAUCGGGAAGGGUCGCUUAGUGAAUUUUACGAUCCUCCCAAAAGAUUACAAUGUGUUAGACCCUAUUAGGCAUGGCUUUAACCAUUAGAUUACUAAAUACGGGUGGGCAUUUUAUGCGGCCCAAAUCCAAAUCCUAAAACGUUGAAUAGAGUGUGUCUAGGAUUGCGGAUUCAUUUGAUGCAGCGCAAUGUGAAACACAUUUUAAACGAUGUUCACCUUCUCAAAUAAAUAUAUAUUAAAUAAAAGCGGUAAAAAAGUAAAAAUUGGCGCAUAGGAACUUCAUGUUAUAAAAUCAGAUAAAAGCUAAAUGCAACAGUUGAGUGACCGCGCUAGAACCACGGAACCCGAGAAUGCCUACCACCUUCUCCCGGUUAACUGAACUCCUUAUCCGGAUUUCUGGUUCGCAGACUGUUAAACAUAGUCAUCUUUUUCCUCAGUUCGGGAUUCAACUGGUGACUUGGGACACCAUUAAUCUCCCAAGUGGAGACUCUGAUUAAUUAAUAACCAAAUCCCAUUCCGAUUGUCCUUUAAUUGGAAAAAUUCCUUUACACCCCUUUGCAGGGGUGUGUAGUAAAAAAGGAGGUGUGACCGCUCCGGCGACUCUGCUGGGGAACAAGAGUUCAGAACGUUUUGUUCAGGGUUCAGAAUUCGAGAUUAGAAUAAUUGUUGUGUUUGGCUUUAUCUGAUUUUAUUAUAUGAUAUGUGCUUAAUGUGCUAAUUGAUUGCUUUUACCGAUUUGAUAUUACAUGAACUAUAUAUAAACUAUGCCAAAACCAUCUCCUCUCUGAGUCUUCUGAAUCGUGAAGAAGGGUGUACGGUGUACGACCUCUUUUCUUUCUAGUGUCAAAUCCCAAUUUAGAACGAGGUUUGGAUAAGUCGCAAAGCCGGCGAAGCUUCUAUAUUCCCUGAUUGCCGCCUCCUCCUCAGCUCGAGCUGUCCGCUCGGAUAAGCCAGGUCUAGAACAAACACCCAGGCUCUGAACCUAGAAUAACUCAACUUCAUGCCGGAUCUCUAGUAGGAACGCUUAUCUGCAUCAUGUGCAUAUUGACUUAGGGGACUCAACACAUGGUUGGGUCCGUCUAGGAUUAGCAACUUGAAAUGAAAAAGACCAUCCUGACGCAUCCUACUUGCUUUCUAUGCAUUUAUUUGUUUCGACCUGCAUGUUGACCGGCUUUCUGAAUCUUGGAAAGGUUAGAAAAUGAGGGGAUAAAAAGGGAAAAACAAUGAGUCGGAAGAGUUAACUGAUUAGUUCAGAAAAACCAUUGUCUAAGUAGGAACUCUGCGGAAAUUUUGAAAAAUAAAAAAAAUAUUUUUUGUAUGUAGUUUGUUUUACUAAAAACCAAAGAAAAAUAGAAAAAGAGUUUUUGGAAAAUUAUUGGAAAAAUAGAAAAAAAGGGGUUUCAAAAAUAGAAAAGCUUGAAAAAGAGUUUUGUUUUAAAAUUUUAGUUAGCUUAUUUGCCCGAACUACACAUGGUUUUAUUCUCACAGGGCGUGACAUACGUAAGAAACCCUCAUCGGGUCCAAUUUUCCCAUGCCCGAACUACGCAUGGUUUUAUUUUCACAGGGCGUGAGAUACGUAAGCAACCCUUAUCGGGUCCAACCUCCCUUAUACAAAAAUAUAGUCAAAAAAUGCCAAAAUGUUUAUUUUUGUCAUACAAAAGUCAAGUAAGGCCACUUUGUCAAAAAUAGCAAAAUGUUCCCAAACGGGACGUUGGAAGGCUGAAUUUGCGUAAACAUCCAUUGUUUGGUCAAUUGUGAUUUCUGACAGGUUGACUACACAGCUUUAAAAUCUUCGUUUCCAAAGUGGUGAAAGGCCGUGUUUGAAAAUUGAGUCUUUUAUUUUCCAAUUUGAAAACACACAAAACAUCAUAUAAACAGUUUUAUCUUUUUGAGUCGAAUAAAAGUUUUUCUUUUGCUUAAUCACCUUAAUAAAUGUGUAGGAUGAGCACAAAUCAAAUUGAACCGUUCUCAGUCUUUAGCGAGGUCCCUCUACAGCUCCACAUGUGGUGGAAUGAUUUGGGAGAUGGUAGUAAAAAGAUAGUGGAAAGAAUUUUGGGAGGUCUGGUCAAUCUGUUGGAUAUCAAGACAAUGACAGACAUCAUUUAAUGAUUUGGGAGAUGAUAGUAAAAAAUAGUGAAAAGAAUUUUGGGAGGUCUCGUCAGUCUGCUAGACAUCAAGCCAAGGACAGACGUCAUUGAAGCUUUAAUACCGUUCUGGGAUCCAACCCAUUAUGUAUUUCACUUUACAGACUUUGAGCUUACACCUACACUAGAGGAGGUUGCGGUUAUGUAGGUUUGGAUGGAAAAUUGAGGGGGCAAUAUUUGCUUUCACCUAGACCGGUGUCUCCACAUGGGUUUUGAAUUUGCUACACAUUAAUCGGAAAGUGCAAGAUGACGAUUUGUCGAAAGGCUAUUGUGCUCUUCAAUUCUUAUAUCAACGGUAUGGUACUUCUCGGGGUUUUGAAGAACUGAAUCUCGGGCUAACUCACAAUGGGGACAAAAAUAAGUGGGAGGCAAGACGUCCUUUAGCUUUCCUGAUGGCCUUCUUGGGAAUCGUGGUUUGUCCAUGCAAAGAAAAGAAAAUAGAGAUAGGACUUGUUGGGAUGGGCGACGUCGCGAUCAAAAGGCCCAAUAGUACUGUGGUCCCUUUGGUGUUAUCUGAAAACUACCAAGCCUUAACUGUGCGUCGGGAGGGAGGCGAUUAUUUCCAGGGUUGCAAUGUAUUACUCUAGCUAUGGAUACAGGAACAUCUCUGUCAUCGUGUAGGAUACAUGUAUCACGGGUUAACUGAAAAAAACCGCAUCAGUGUUUUUGAGAAAUGGGUGACGGGCGUUGAAUUCCCUGAAGGUGUCGAAUCAUGGUUUGCACAAUUGAGGUCAUUGACAGCUAAUCAAGUUGAAUGGGCAUUUGGAUGGUUGCCUGAUACCGAGGUAAUACACAUGGUGGUCGAAGAAUGUCAUAUUCUUUUGAUGGGGGUUCGCAGUAUCCAGCCCUAUGCUCCUCAUCAAGUAUUGCGCCAGUUAGGAAGAUUUCAGACAAUCCCCACCGAUGAGGAUCUAAGUGAAGCAUGUCGACCGAAGAAUGUCAUAUUCUUUUGAUAGGGUUCGCAGUAUCCAGCCCUAUGCUCCUCAUCAAGUAUUGCGCCAGUUAGGAAGGUUUCAGACCACCCCCAACGAUGAGAAUCUAAGCAAGCAUGCCAUUGAGUUAAGUCCAAGAGCCACAUUUCCCGAAAAAGAUGUUCGAAAGCUAUGGAAUGAAUGUAGAUUUCUCGAGUCAAAGACCAUGGUUCAAGAACGUUCUAAGGGAGAAGUAGAUCCGAAGUAAAAUGCUUGGUUCAGAAAAAGGUUCCAAAUUCAGAGACACUACUAAAAGAGCCCACGUCCAACAAUUUACGAACGAUUCACAAGAACAAUGGGGCUGGUUGGCAAAGGAAGAGAACUAUUGGGCUGAGUUUGGCAAAUUGAAGCAACAAAUUGCAAGUUUGACUUUCGAGAAUAGUAUGCAAGCUGCGGCGGACCACGGAGAAAAGAAUAGACUGGCUCGAGAAAAUGAGAUGCUCAAGGCUCAAAUACAACAAAUGAAGGUAACCGCCAAUAAUCAACAAAGACGUAGGUCGGAUGAGAGACGCAUAAAAGGUUUGGAAAAUAAGAUCAAUGGGUGUCGGGACGAGUUGGAAAGAUCUGAGAACAUCAUGGCAAAACUCAAGGCACAAUGGGCUACAAAGACAGAAGAGAAUUGCCAGUAUUUGAACCAAUUAAAACGGGAUCAUGAGAAAAUUGUGGCCGAUUUGAAAAGAAAGAUGGUCGCCCUCGAGGGAAAAGUGGUUAAGCAGGCCAAGGACUUUGAAGUGGAAAGUGGGCAUUGCUAUGACUUAUUGGCCCAGAUGGAGGUGGAAGUGAAACAGUUGCAAGAUUAGCACAUGCAAGAUUCUCAGGCCUUAAAACAUGCAGUAAUCAGAUAAGACGCCUACUCAUAGAAAAGAAGUGAGCCAAAGACAGGAUCAGAGCCAUUGCUCAUGCCAUUUUGACAAGAUGCUGGGCAUGUGAAGAUAUGACUUAUACUACCUUUGUCCCACCCGUAGUGAUCUUUGUUGAAUGAACUUUGCAUGAAUUAGAGCAGCUUUAACAUGAUUUGGAACCCAGGUCUGCGUCGAGGCCGAAUGACGCCCUGUGGACACCUAAGUUUGAGGAUUUAGAAUAUGCUUAGUCCGUGUCUGUUGUUUUUCUAUUUUCGAGUCUGUCGUUGGAUUGUCCUGUGUCUUUUUAUGUCAAGUAUGUAGUCUUUGCGUCUGUAAUCAUUUUUGUUUGUGUCUGUUCCACAAAAGUUUUUAGUUUGUAAUAGUUUGUUUUAGUAAUGAAAAAUUGAAAAUUCCAAAAUUUUUAAUUCCAUCCUUUAUUCUUGCAUUUAUUUUCACGAACUACGCUUGGUCUGAUUUGUGCUUGGUCACGAUACGUAGGCAAUCUCUAUAGGAUUCGACCGUAAUCGCAAAAGAAAAGAAACAGAGAAUUAGAAAGAAAGAAAAGAGCGGAAAAACAAGGAAAAAGAGGAAUGAGAGUAAGGAAAAAGAGCAAAAACAUAGGAGCGGAAAAACCAAAGAAAGGAUAAAAUAAGAAAGCGAAAAGAAAGAAAGUGAAAGAAAAGAGAGAAUGAACAGGGAAUUGUGACGGAAACAAUAAAAGCCGGGAUGACGCACGCAGUCGAGCAAAGGCAUAAUAGAAACGGUUAACUGUAUAGGUGCAUUCAUGCCAACGUGUGGUUACCUAAUCCGUUAAAGCAUAAUCACUAAUCAAGUUGUUUUCCAAAUGUGUGAGUCCAGACAGUUGGUUAGUAUGUGGUUACCUUAUCUGUUAAAGCCUAAUCACUAAUCAAGUUGUUGUCCAAAUGUGUGAGUACGGACAGGUGGUUAGUUGAUUGGCAAUUCUAGCAACUCACCAUUACAACAGCCGGUUGAAGGAUAAGAUAGAAAUAACUGGACAGGAUUCAGAUACUAGUACUAUGGAUCCCAUGAAAGAGGUCGAGGUGACUGAUGUAGGGGCUAUGAAAGAGGAGAUGAAGAAGCUGAAAGCCCAAAUGGAUGCCAUGCACCGGGCUUGGGCUCAGGGGCACCCAACACAUUUAUACCCUGCCAACCCCUCUUACAUCCCGCACCUACUGCAGGCUCAGGAGCCUCCCACUCCCAAAACAUCUCCACCCUUCCAUUAUAACACCCAGGGGUAUGCCACUACUUCAUACGCCCCUCCAGCUCCUCCACCCAAACAGAACCCUCCUACACCCAUGGCUCCGUUUUUUGUGGCACCUCCUCCAGGUCCAUUACAAAGGUCCUCUAGUGAACCACUAUUCCAAGCCUAUGACACCCAAUAUUACCCUCCUGAGCCCACUCUUAAGGCUCCUGAUCCAUACUCAUAUACCCCUCACUUUGAGAUCCUAGAGGCAGUGGAUAAACCAGUUAAGAAUGCGGAGCAUGGGGAAGUGAUUUGGAAUUUCAAAAGUCUGGAGCAAUUCUUCAGGAACAUGCACGGUUUAGGCAGCCAAGUCAGCGUUGCCUAUAAAGAUUUGUGCCCUUUCCCUGAUGUCAAGUUUCCCGCGGGGUUUAAGAUGCCCAAGUUUGACCUAUACGAGGGACAUGGCGAUCCGGUGGCUCACCUUCGAGGUUUUUGCAGCAGAAUGAGAGGUGUUGGAGGAAAAGAUGAAAUGCUGAUAGCCUAUUUUGGUCAAAGUAUGAGCGGGUCCAUGCUGGAGUGGUACACGAAACAGAACCUAGCCGAUGGUAUACAUGGUAUGAUUUGGCACAAGCAUUCAUUGGCCAUUUUCAAUACAACCUCGAGAUAGUCCCUGAUCGUCUGUCAUUGUUGAAAUUUGAGAAGAAGCCGGGAGAAAGCUUUAGAGAAUUUGGUUUCCGAUGGACGGAACAAGUAGCCAGAGUGGAUCCUCCAAUGAGGGAGAAUGAGAUGGUAGACUACUUCCUGCAAACGUUGGAGCAGGCAUACUUCAGUCACCUAGUGGCGUCUGUAGGUAACUCAUUCAGUGAAGUAGUGAAUAUGGCACCAUGACUGAAGACGAUUUAAAGUCUAACAAAAUCUUGAGUUAUUUAGCACUGAAAGCAACUACGCAGGCCAUUCAAAGCGGUACUGGGAAAGAAAAAGAAGGAAGAAGUGGCCACAGCAGAAGCUAGCACAUGGUGCAGUCCCAACAAUCCUCCACCCUACUAUAGCCAACGCAGACCCCAACACCCAAACUACCCAUAUACCCCGUACGUCCCACCACAACAUUACUACCCUCCACCAGAACCACACUUCUAUGUCCACCAUGCUUAGACAUACACUCAUCCUCCGGUGCACCCGCAAUGGCAUGCACUGGUUCCCAAAAACACAUAUACACCUCCAAAAAACACCCAUCCACACCCUAGGGCUAAAAGACCAAGACCCGGCUUUCGCCCGAACCAAACCUUUUGGAAUGAGAGGGCCCCAAACAGAAGAACUUUUACCCCAUUGGGAGAAUCUUACACCUCUUUAUUACAUAGACUGAAGCAGUUGGGAAUGUUAAACCCAAUCGAGCCCAAAGUACCAAACCCACCUCCCAUAAACCUGGACCAGACCGUUAGCUAUGAGUAUUACUCGGGAAUACCGGGGCAUGAAACUGAAAAAAUGUUGGAAGUUGAAGAGUGCGGUGCAAGAGCUUAUUGACAACCGCCGUAUUGAAGUACAUGUCCCGGAGGUUCCAAACAUAAAUCAAAACCCGCUUCCAGUGCAUCAUGAGACUAACAUGAUUGAGUUGGUGCACAAGGAUGGAGAGGUGAAGAAACCCUCACAAAGCGUGAUGAUGAUUCGUGCUAUUGAGACCAGUUCAAAAGAGAAGCUGACUGGGGGACAGGAAGGGGUGAAGUUGAAAGGUACAAGUGACAAGCCAAUGGUAGUGAUGGGGAAAGAAUUAUCUGAUGCUGCAAAAAUGCCAGAGCCAACCAAGUUAGUAGUACCAGGGGCGUCAUCCAUGCCCGUGGUUGUUGUGAAAGGGGCCUGCGUAGAACCGGUCAUCAUAAAGUCGAUAAUCCAACUACCUAUGGUCAAUAGCAAAGCCGUGCCAUGGAAAUAUGACAAGGUGGUAGUAACAUACAAGGGAAAAGAUAUAGAGGAAGAGAGUUGUGAGACGCAAGGGUUGACUCGAUCAGGACGUUGUUUUGCCCCCGAAGAGUUGAGAAAAGCUAAGAGCACUAAAGGAAAUGCAACAUUAGUUAAGAAGGCAGUAACGGAAGAAGAGGAGGAAGAAUUUCUAAAAAAGAUGAAGGCACAUGAUUAUUCUAUUGUGGAACAACUGAGAAAAACUCCGGCUCAGAUAUCAUUGUUAUCAUUAUUGAUCCACUCGAACGAGCAUCGCCGAGCCUUGACAAAAAUAUUAAAUGUGGCCCAUGUCCUUGACAAAAUUUCAGUCAACCAUCUGGAGACAACUGCGAACAAGAUCUUCGAGGUGAACAGAAUAAUAUUUUCUGAUGACGAAUUGCCUGUGGAUGGCACGAAACACAGCAAGGCUCUUUACUUAACAGUCAAGUGUGAAGACUCAAAGGUGACUCGGGUGUUGAUGGACAAUGGGUCUAGUGCCAAUAUUUGUCUGUUGUCUAUGCUGAAUCGGUUGAAGAUUGAUCUUGAUAUCAUCCACAAAAAUAGCAUUUGUGUUUGAGGGUUUGAAGGGGGAGGAACAGACACAGUGGGAGAUAUUAUACUCGAAUUGACUAUCGGUCCAGUUGAAUUCACUAUGGAUUUUCAAGUGCUAGACGCUGCAGUAUAUUAUAAUAUUUUGCUGGGAUGACCAUGGAUCCAUGAAACCAAGGCAGUGCCCUCCACAUUGCACCAAAUGAUCAAGUUUGAGUGAGAUAGGCAAGAAAUCGUGUUGCAUGGGGAAGAUCUUACAUGCGUAGUAAGUGAUGCCAUUGUGCCCUUUAUAGAUACUGAUGAUGAUAAGGGACCAUGGGUUUAUCAAGUCUUCGACACGAUCCCGGUGAACCGAGUGCCAGAGGGUAAAAGUAUCCCACGUCCCAGGGUAGCGGUAGUGGGACUUUGUUUUUCCUUUUUGCUUUCACCUGGAUUAUCCCAGGGUUUGUAAUCCUUGUGACUAUGUUCCGUCCAUUUGGAUGAGCCAAGACCUGUUAUCUUUACGUUUUAAUGAAAUGCAAUUUUCCUUCCUUUUUCCUUUCCUUAUUUUGUUUCUAUUUUUAUUUUCUUUUAUGUACAGUUCUUUUUAUGCUAGUAUCAAUGACAUGACAUGCAUGAGUACUUCUCGAUCCAGUUUCAUAAGCCAACCUAACUCAGAAGUAAUAAUACAAGAAAUUGAAUGUGACGAUAAAAAGGAAUACGAUGAUGAUGAGGCCUAUGAAGAAAUCAGUAAGGAACUUAAACAUUUUGAGAAAAAACCCAAACCGAACUUAAAUGACACAGAAGCAGUUAACCUAGGGGAUCAAGAUAAUAUCCGUGAAACUAAAAUAAGUGUUCAUCAGGAGCCGCAGCUCAAGAAAGAAAUAAUCGCGGCGUUGUUGGAAUAUAAAGAUGUUUUUGCUUAGUCCUAUGAUGAUAUGCCAGGGUUGAGUACUGAUUUGGUGGCUCACAAACUGCCUACCGAUCCAUCACUCCCUCUGUUAAGCAGAAACUGAGAAAAUUUAAAACAGACAUGAGUGUGAAAAUUAAAGAAGAGAUUACCAAACAAUUCAAUGCAAAGGUCAUACGGGCCACGAAGUAUCCCACCUGGUUAGCUAAUAUUGUGCCUGUGCCGAUGAAAUAUGGAAAAACUAGAGUGUGUGUUGAUUAUCGAGAUCUCAACAAGGCAAGUCCAAAAGACAAUUUUCCAUUACCAAACAUCCACAUAUUGAUCGACAAUUGUGUCAAACAUGAGAUUGGUUCUUUUGUGGAUUGAUAUGCGGGUGAUCAUCAGAUCUUAAUAGAUGAGAAAGAUGCAGAAAAGACGGCAUUCAUCACACCAUGGGUAUCGACAAUUGUUUCAAACAUGAGAUUGGUUCUUUUGUGGAUUGUUAUGCGUGUUAUCAUCAUAUCUUAAUGGAUGAGGAAGAUGCAGAAAAGACGGCAUUCAUCACGCUGUAGGGAACAUAUUGCUAUCGGGUCAUGCUAUUCGGUUUGAAAUGUCGGGUCAACCUACAUGAGGGCUAUAGCGAUGAUCUGCCAUGAUAUGAUAUAUAAAGAGAUUGAGGUGUACGUAGAUGAUGUGAUUGUGAAAUCCAGGCAGCAGUAUGACCAUGUCAGGGAUUUGAGGAAAUUAUUUUAAAGCUUCGCAGAUACAAUCUCAAGCUUAAUCCUGCAAAGUGUGCAGGAUUGAAUUGGAUCCAUCGAAGAUUAAGGCCAUUCAGGAAUUGCCGCCUCCAAGAAACAAAACUGUUGUGAUGAGUUUUUUGGGGAGAUUGAACUACAUUAGCAGGUUCAUUUGCCAGUUCACAACUACUUGCGAGCCCAUUUUCAAACUGCUAAAGAAAGAUGCUGCGGUUAAAUGGACGGAUGAAUUUCAUAAAGCGUUUGAUAAGAUAAAGGGAUAUUUAUCGAACCCACCCGUGUUGGUUCCGCCAGAACCAAAGAGGCAUGUGAUUCUGUAUCUGAUGGUCUUAGAUAGUUCGUUUGGCUAUGUACUGGGGCAUCAUGAUGUUACUGGCAGGAAGGAGCAGGCGAUCUACUAUGUCAGCAAGAAGUUCACAUCUUACGAGGUUAAGUACACUCAUCUAGAGUGGACGUGUUGCGUUUUAACUUGGGUGGCGCAGACAUUGAAACAUUAUUUGACGUCCUACACUACUUAUCUCGUAUCUCGGUUAGAUCCACUGAAGUAUAUUCUCCAGAAGCCUAUGCGCACGGGAAGGCUUGCAAAGUGGCAGAUUUUGCUUACAAAGUUUGAUAUUAUCUAUGUGACACGGACCGCAAUAAAAGUACAGUCUUUAGCUGAUCAUUUGGCUGAGAAUCCAAUUGAUGACAAUUACGAGCCUUUGAAAACUUACUUCCCUGAUGAAGAGGUGAUGCAUAUUGAUGAGUUGGGGCUGAGAAUCCAAUUGAUGACGAUUAUGAGCCUUUAAAAACUUACUUCCCUGAUGAAGAGGUAAUGCAUAUUGAUGAGUUGGAGCAGGUAGAGAAACCAGGAUGGAAACUGUUCUUUGAUGGAGCGGCAAAUAUGAAAGGCGUGGGAAUAGGAGCCGUACUUAUUUCUGAAACAGGUAAGCACUAUCUUGUUAUGGCUCAGCUUCGUUUCAAUUGUACGAACAACAUGGCGGAAUAUGAAGCAUGUAUUUUGGGGUUGAGAUUAGCUGUGGAUAUGGGCGUCCGAGAAGUCUUGGUCAUGGGUGACUCGGACCUACUGGUACACCAAAUUCAAGGAGAUUGAGAAAUAUGAGAUUUGAAAUUGAUACCAUACCGACAGUGCCUGCAUGAGCUUUGUCAACGGUUUCAGUCAAUAGAGUUUUGGCAUAUCCCGAGGGUUCAUAGUGAGGUUGCCGACGCUUUGGCUACUUUGGCGUCAAUGUUGCACCAUCCAGAUAAGGCUUACGUAAACCCAUUGCAGAUUUAGGUCUACGAUCAGAAUGCUUAUUGUAAUAUGAUAGUAGAAGAGCUUGACGGUGAGCCGUGGUUUCAUGAAAUAAUGGAAUAUAUCAGGAUCAUAGUAUAUCCGGAACAUGCCUAGAGAUAAGAAAAGAACUAUUCAUCGAUUGGCAAGCGGGUUUUUCCUGAGUGGAGGAGUACUGUACAAAAGAACACCAGAUCGUGGACUGUUGAGGUGCAUGGAUGCGAGGCAAGCCAUGGCUAUCAUGACUGAGGUACAUUAUAGAGUCUUUGGACCGCAUAUGAGAGGAUAUGUUUUGGCAAAGAAGAUCUUACGGGCAGGUUAUUAUUGGCUUACUAUGGAGCGGGAUUGUAUCAAUUUUGUGCGUAAGUUCCAUCAGUGCCAAGUGCAUGGAGAUUUGAUUCAUUCUCCGCCAUCCGAGCUACAUACGAUGCCCGCGCCAUGGCUUUUUGUCGCAUGGGGCAUGGAUGUCAUCGGGCCAAUCGAACCGGCAGCGUCAAACGGGCACAAGUUCAUUUUGGUAGCUAUAGACUAUUUCACCAAAUGGGUAGAGGCUAAGACAUUCAAAUCUGUAACCAAGAAAGCUGUGGUGGAUUUUGUGCAUGCAAACCUUAUUUGUCGAUUUGGGGUAUUGAAAGUAAUCAUUACAGACAAUGGGGAAAACCUCAGUCAUCUGAUGAAGUAGACAUGUGAGAAAUUCAAGAAGCAUUCUACUCCCUAUCGCCCUAAAGCAAAUGGUAUGGUCGAGGCAACAAAUAAGAAUAUAAAGAAAAUAUUCUGGAAGAUGGUGGAAGGUUCGAGACAGUGGCAUGAAAUGUUGCCUUUGCAUUGUUGGGGUAUCGCACCACCGUCCGUACUUUGGUGGGGGAAACUCCUUAUUCAUUGGUGUAUGGCACUGAGGCAGUAAUACCCGUAGAAGUGGAAAUUCCGUCUUUAUGAAUCGUUGCAGAGGCUGAGAUCGAUGAUGAUGAAUGGGUGAAAAACCGCCUUGAGCAUUUUAGUUUGAUUGACGAGAAGAGAUUGGCAUCAGUGUGUCAUGGUCAACUGUACCAACGAAGAAUGGAAAGAGCAAGUAACAAGAAAGUUUGCCCGAGGAAAUUCGAAGUCGGAUAGCUAGUUCUGAGGCGGAUUUUGCCUCAUAGGGCUGAAGGAAAAGGAAAAUUUGCCCCGAACUAGCAGGGGCCAUUUGUAGUAACCAGAGUGUUGUCUAAUGGCGCACUCUAUUUAUAGAUGUAGAAGGAAAAUGUGUAUAAAUGACCAUCAAUUCCGAUUCGAUCAAGAGAUAUUAUCUAUGAUUUCUUUAUUUCUGAAUGUAUUUGUUUGUAUUUGGCAUAUUUUAAAGAUUGAAAUGAUGAAGGCGUGUUGUUCUGCUAUCCAAACACCAUUUUCCCUUGUCACCCCUUUUAGCCUUACAUAUUUCCGUUCAUACCUCUUUUUCGGAAUCAACGGCACAAUCAAGAAACGCAGGUGCCGAGCGUAAAGUAAAGAAAAGAAAAAGAAAGCAAAAAAGAAAAGGAAAAAAGAAAAGAAAGAAAAGAAAAGAAAAGGAAGAAAAAGAAAAGAAAAGAAAAGAAAGAAUCACAACAAAGGUAAAUACGAUAACGUGAACUACGUUUGAUUUGAUCCUGAAAGGGUACGUAGGCGACCUUACUCUGAGGUUCAAUCACACCAAAAUAAAAACCCGAAAGUCCCCAAGCAAGAAACUGGGGCAGAAGUUGUAAUAGUCUUGAGAAAUUGGAUUCUGAAAGUUGUAAGUUUAACCCAUUCGAAACUAUUUUGAGCCUUUUAUACCCUUUCUUUCUAACCUAUCAAAAAGCCUACAUUACGAUCCAAAGAAAGACCUUCUGAUCAAUUUUUGAGGAAUUCCAAGUCAAGCAUGUAGCGGUAAUUCAUGGAAGUGCCAAUGCUCUGGUUCAAGCAAGAAAAACAAAAGAUAAAAAAUGAGAGAGUCUUACUGGUGAAAAUCCUUACGGGCACCGUAAGACGACGAGAGCUGAGAGAAAAUAAAAUGAGAGAGUCUUAGUGGUGAAAACCCUCACGGCACCCUAAGGAGUAAGUGAGUUGAGAAAUGGCAAACUGAGAAAGGUCUGUUGGUGAAAAUUGUUCGUAGCUUCGCACGAUAAAUAAGGUUAAGGUUUGGGUAAAGUAAUCAAGUGAUGGAAGUUCUGGGAAAUGAAGUAUGGCAACUGAAGAGUUGGUUAGUUGGAUCGGUUGGACCGGUUAGUCCGAAAUGCUUGUCAUGAUUAUUGGUGCCAACUGUUCCAAUCAGAUAAGUUUCUUUUCUUUUUGCUUUUCAACAGUCACCUGGUUUUGAAUUCUUCUUAUCUUUAUCUCAUAAAAUUAUUGCAUUUCAUUCUCUUUCGGGGGUUUUGGUUUGUCUAAAAUGUUCCAAUGUCAGUUUUGUUCAAUACAAAAGAAAAAGGAUUUCAAAACCCACUACCAGCUUCCGAAAAUGGUAAAGAAAAAUGUGGCCAGAGCCUGUCAGUAACAAUGUAAUGUAAAGUGAAAUAAGGGAAGUCACCGGAAGUUUCGUCGGCAGAAUAUUUGGGAAAUGUUAUGGGAAAUGUGAAAGUUCAGGAAAAGAGAGUCGGAAAGGGGAAACAAUAGUGGGAGUACAAAAACAUUCGGGUUGUUAGAAAUUGGGGAAUGUGAAAGGCGGUUAGAAAGUCAGACAGUUCAGAGGAAGUCAGGCAACACAAAGCAAGGCAAUGGAAGGAUGGUGCAACAAGAAUUCCAUCAACUAACCACCAUUUUUUUAAACUAAAAAAUUUUCAAUGAUUGAAACAGGGGUAGAUAAAUUAUUUGUCAGGAGGAAUUCUCCACGAAAAAAAAAUAUGCAUUAAUCAAGUUUAAUCGCAAGUGCGGCAUGGGUAAAAAUAUAAGAACAUGAGGAGUGGCAUAAGGAGAUAUUGAAGUUAGGAGUCUGGCUGAAAAAUAGACGAAUAUAUCUUAGUCUUUGGGUUUUAAAGUUACAAUUUCAAUCCUGUCGCAAUUAAAGUGUUAGUUUUAAUCCUUAUUAGUAUGUGGUAACAAGCCCCAGUUUUCCCAAACUGGGGUAGACAGUGUUUGUUGUUUUGUCUAUUUUUGUGAAAUUAGGAGCCCGCCUGGAGAAUGGAGGUGUUAAAUUUUUUAGUAGUUGAAAUCAGGAGCCCGCUUGUAGAAUGGAGGUGUUAAAUUUUUAUGUAGUUGAAAUCAGGAGCCCUUUAUUAAGUAGUUGAAUUUAGGAGCCCUCCUGGAGAAUGGAGGUGAUAAAUUUUAAAGUAGUUGAAAUCAGGAGCCUGCCUGGAGAAUGGAGGUGUUAAAUCUUUAAGUACUUGAAAUCAGGAGCCCGCCUGGAGAACGGAGAUGUUAAAUUUUUAAGUAGUUGAAAUCAGGAGCCCGUCUGGAGAAUGGAGGUGUUAAAUUUUUAAGUAGUUAAAAUUAGGAGCCCGCCUGGAGAAUGGAGGUGUUAAAUUUUUAAGUAGUUGAAAUCAGGAGCCCGCCUGNNNNNNNNNNNNNNNNNNNNNNNNNNNNNNNNNNNNNNNNNNNNNNNNNNNNNNNNNNNNNNNNNNNNNNNNNNNNNNNNNNNNNNNNNNNNNNNNNNNNNNNNNNNNNNNNNNNNNNNNNNNNNNNNNNNNNNNNNNNNNNNNNNNNNNNNNNNNNNNNNNNNNNNNNNNNNNNNNNNNNNNNNNNNNNNNNNNNNNNNNNNNNNNNNNNNNNNNNNNNNNNNNNNNNNNNNNNNNNNNNNNNNNNNNNNNNNNNNNNNNNNNAGGUGUUAAAUUUUUAAGUAGUUGAAAUCAGGAGCCCGCCUGGAGAAUAGAGGUGUUAAGUUUUUAAGUAGUAGAAAUCAGGAGCUUGCCUGGAGAAUGGAGGUGUUAAAUUUUUAAGUAGUUGAAAUCAGGAGCCCGCUUAGAGAAAAUAAGUGUUAAAUUUUUAUGUAGUUGAAAUCAGGAGCCCACCUGGAGAACAGAUGUGUUAAAUUUUUAAAUAGUAGAAAUCAGGAGCCCGCAUGGAGAAUGGAGGUGUUAAAUUUUUAUGUAGUUGAAAUCAGGAGCCCGCUCCCUCCUGGAGAAUAGAAGUGUUAAAUUUUCAAGUAGUUGAACUCAGGAGCCCGCCUGGAGAAUAGAGGUGUUAAGUUUUUAAGUAGUUGAAGUCAGGAGCCCACCUAGAGAAUAGGGGUGUUAUUUUUUUAAGUAGUUGAAGUCAGGAGCCCGCCUGGAGAAUGGAGGUGUUAAUUUUUUUUAACUAGUUAAAGUGAGAAGCCCGCGUGGAGAAUGGAUGUGUUAAAUUUUAUAAGUAGUUGAAUUUAGGAGCCCGCAUGGAGAAUGGAGGUGAUAAAUUUUUAAGUAGUUAAAAUCAGGAGCCCGCCUUGAGAAUGGAGGUGUUAAAUCUUUAAGCAGUUGAAAUCAGGAGCCCACCUGGAGAAUGAAGGUGUUAAAUUUUUAAGUAGUUAAAAUCAGGAGCCCGCCUGGAGAAUGGCGGUGUUAAAUUUUAAGUAGUUGAAAUUAGGAGCCUGCCUGGAGAAUAGAGGUGUUAAGUUUUUAUGUAGUUGAAAUCAGGAGCCCGUCUGGAGAAUGGAGGUGUUAAAUUUUCAAAUAGUUGAAGUCAGGAGCUUGCCUGGAGAAUGGAGGUGUUAAAUCUUAAGUUGUAGUUGAAGUCAGGAGCCCGUUUGAAGAACGGUGGUAUACAAUGCAAGUUUUGAAAAUCAGGAGCCCGCUGGAUAACAGUGGUAUUUCGAGCCAAGUUUUUGUCAAAAUUCUUGUUAAUACCCGGUAACGUGUUCCCAGUUUCCAAAAUGGGGCAUAAAGUUUCCUUUAUUUUGUCUAUUUUUAUGAAAUCAGGAACCCGCCUGGAUAAUAGAGGAAUACAUUUCAAAUCCAGAAGUCAAGAGUCCGCUUGGAGAAUAGAGAAAUACAUUCAAGUUUUGAAGUCAGGAGCCCGCCUGAAGAACAGAGUUAUUACAAUUCAAGUUUUAGCUUUCGAAUUCGUAUUAGUAUCCGGUAACAAACCCACUAGGGCAGAAAGUUUUCUUUGUUUCAUCAAUUUUUGAGGUCAUGAGCCCACCUGGAUAACAGAUGAAUACAAUUCAGCCUUAGAAUAUUACAGCUACAUUUCAGUCUUAUUACAAUUCAAGUUUUAGUUUUCAACUUCGUAUUAGUAUCCGGUGACAAACCCUAGUUUUCCAAAUUGGGGUCGAAAGUUUUCUUUGUUUCGUCUAUUUUUGAGGUCAGGAGCCCGCAUGGAUAACAGAGGAAUACAUUUCAGCCUUUAAAUUUUGAAGUUACAUUUCAGUCUUAUCAUGAUUCAAGUUUUAGUUUUCAAGUUUUUGAUAAUAUAUGAUAACAAGCACCCAAUUUUCCAAACUAGGGUAGAAAGUUUUCUUGUUUUAUCUAUUUUUGUGAAGUCAGGAGCCCGCCUGGAUAAUAGAGGAAUACAUUCCAGUUCAAAAUUGUUCAAGUUCAGUAAUGUGGAGAAAAGGAAUAACAUCUCAGUUAGCAAGUUGAAAUAAUGACAAUGGAUUUCACCAAUGAAACACAAGAUAACAAGACAACAAGGAAGUACAAGAUGCAAGUUUGAAGAUUUUAGACAGGACUUUUGUAAUUCAUAGUUCGUAGCUUAGGCUAGCUUCUUUAUUUUUGGUUGGUAUAAUAAGGAAGGUCAGCAAGAGGUAGCAACAACACUGACCUGAUUCCUGUUUAGCCCAGGAUAUGUAGGCAACCUCUGAAGCAGGGUGCGGUCAAAAUUUUUCAAAAUGCUUCACAAAGGAAUUCUCAAACGGGCAAAAAUCGCUCGUAUUUGCUCACUUAUCUUUGCCCGAAAACAUUUCAUGUUUCCAUGCAAAGAGGAACAACGGUGAGCACGUGAUUUUUGCCCUAUAUAUGAAUUAUUCCCACAAAAUUCAAACAAAAGGACUUUUUUCUUUAUUUUUACAAUUUAUGUGCAUUUUGGUGUCAUUUUCUGAUAAUUGUUGCAUUUUAUUUGUGCAUGAUAAUUCAAAUGAAAAUAAAAAAAUAUGCAUUUGCAUUUAAGUUAUAAUUUUAUAUUUUAAUGUUAAUUAAGGCUCAAAUUGUCAUAGAACAGUGCAUGAAAAAUCACAAAAAUAGUUCACUUUUGCAUUUUUAUUAUUUUUGUGAAAUUAUCGCAAAUUAGUUUUAAUAUAAUUUUAGGCCAUUAAUUAGUUUAGUUUAAAGUUUUAUUUUUAUUUUUACAUCUUCAAUAAAUUCAAAAAAUACUAUACAAAAUUAUAAAUUGUUAAAACACAUAAAAAGGUUUAAUUGAAAAGCAAUUGAAUUGAAAAAAAAGAAGAAGAAGAAGUAAUCAAUGAAAGAGGUUGCCCAAAAUUGGGCUUUUGGCUCAGUUAAUACGUGUCAGCCCAAGCCAAUGGCCCCCUGAUCCAGGCCAAAAUGCACCCGGUCCAGUCUCUUUGGAAAACAAAACACGGUCGUUUUGAGUUGCAAUAACUUCAAUCAAUCAAGGCCUUUCAUCCCUCCUCAUCCAACAGUUGUGGAUACUCAUUUCGGCUAAUUAAAAUGGUCCGAAAAAUGCAGAGACCGUUUAGUUCUUCCCCAAACACAGACCUCAUCUUCUCCGUCUCCUUCAUCCCCAAACCUCCAUGUUCACCGGCAAUCCACCGCCAAUGACCGCCAAAAUAACACCCUUGAAACCCCGUCGCCCUAAACCUCCAUGUUCACCGGCAAUCCACCGCCAGUGACCGCCAAAAUAAUACCCUUGAAACCCUGUCUCACCCUCAUCCCAAAAAUCCCCUUUAUUCCCCUCGAAUGUUACUGAAGCCUCUCGAAUUUGGAUUUAAAGGGUCUACUUUAGAAAUUCCAAAGCCUAAAUCUAUGACUUUAUAAAUGGUUCUAGACUGUAGUGACCUUUAUUCGUGUGCUUCCAUAAGAAAAUACACGAUUAAGGGUUAGUCCAGUCAGGAAUCUGAAGAAGCUCGUUAAGGAUUGUUCGAGUUGGCUUAGCUUGGUGCUUUAGGUAUUAUGUUUGCCUAUCCUCAUUGUUUCCCCAAUUAGUUCAAUUGUUUGAUUUUGUUUUCUGUUGUUCUUCCUCCAGUUCAUGCUCUGUCUCUGCUUUUCCAUUCUGCCUCGUUGCUUAUGUGUUAAUAUGCUUAAUUAAUAACCUUGAGUUAAUCGUGUUUUUGAUUUUGCUAAAUAAAUAGAAUUAAUUCAUUUUGCGAGUUUUUAAUUGGGCUGUUUCUUUUGGAGGUUAUCCCUUAACUGAUAUUGGAUUGAGUCAGAAUCUGAAAUCGAUAUAAUUGGGCUGUUUCUUUUGGAGGUUAUCCGUUAACUGAUAUUGGAUUGAGUCAGAAUCUGAAAUCGAUUAUCUAAUUUGGAUUGGUCUAGAAUUAGGUUGGGGCUCCUUGGGUCAUUUAUGACCCAACUCAAAGGUGCCCUGGUUGAGCCCAAAUCUGUUUGGUUAGCUAAGUAAUAACAGGGGCUUUGGAGGGUAUUAUAGGUAAUCUAACAUGGAUGAAUCUUUUAUGACUAAUUUCAGAAGUUUCUAGUAGGGGUCUUAAGGGGAAUAUCAUAUUUUGGGUGUUUAAACUUGGGUAGAAAGUCAGGAAUUGGGGGUUACCUAAGCAAAAAUGAAAAUUCAAAAGGGGGGUAAGGUGUAAAUUGGAAAACCUGAAGGCUGCCCUAUGCUUAAGCUUAUAAAGGCAUGGUUUAUUGCCUUGAAAGGAAGCCAUCAAGAUUCUAAAAAUUUGAAGGGAAUUAGAGAUACAAAAGAAAAAAACAUAAAAUUCAGUAUUGCUACUAUUCUAUGGAGUUUAAGGCCUAAACUUUGAAAGUUUUUCCAUCUCUAAAUCAAUUUGAAUUUUAUCUUUAUGUCCAAGCUUUGAAAUGGUUUGAAAAAUGAGGUGAUGAUUUUGGAUUUGGAUGUCUCUGAUUGUUUGAAGGUGGUAUUACGUGUUGAGACUACAUUCCUCUGGGUUUUAGGCUAUUAAGUCUACUGUUCCAUUUGAGUUUUUAAGUAAUCUCCUGGUUUUAUUCACUAAGUCCGGGCUGCGUUGGUUGCUUUUGAUUUCUACGGUUGCUGUUUGAUAUUGCAUCUGCUUGGCUGGUUGUGUUCCUUCUGUUGGCUUUCAUCUUUAUUUGAGCUUACUACUGCUGCUCACUGUUAGCUCCUGGCUCAUUUUUGUUGGUUUUGCUGUUGUAAUCAGGUACAUACUCGAGGUCAUGUCAAUACAGAUUUUACUUGCUUGAAAUGAAAUGGAAUCGAAGUUACUGCUUGAAGAUCUGUUGUUCAUUUUAUUAUGCAAAUGAAUAUUUUGUAUGAUCUAUGUAAUUUCAUAGUGUGACAGAGCAUAAACCUAGGAGUUCUAUGUGUAGCAACGAGGUUUUGGACUGUUAAACUCGACUGAUUUUAUAGCUUUCAUUAAUUCUAUGUGUAGCACUGGUUAUAACUACACCAUUUGGGGUUGUUGAAUUCUGGAUUCUAUAACUUUCAUUAAGCCUUCAUUAUGCAUUUCAAAGUAGUCGAUGUGAUUUGAACUACACCAUUUGGGGUUAUUGAAUUCUGGAUUCUAUAAAUUUCAUUAAGCCUUCAUUAUGCAUUUCAAAGUAGUCGAUCUCAGCCCAAAUGGC